GGAGGGUGCAAGCGUUGUUCGGAAUUAUUGGGCGUAAAGAGCGUGUAGGCGGUCCGGUAAGUCAGAUGUGAAAGCCCUGGGCUCAACCCAGGAAGUGCAUUUGAAACUACCAGACUUGAGUACGGGAGAGGAGGGGGGAAUUCCCGGUGUAGAGGUGAAAUUCGUAGAUAUCGGGAGGAAUACCAGUGGCGAAGGCGCCCCUCUGGACCGAUACUGACGCUGAGACGCGAAAGCGUGGGGAGCAAACAGGGUUAGAUACCCUGGUAGUCCACGCCGUAAACGAUGAGCACUAGGUGUAGCGGGUAUUGACCCCCUGCUGUGCCGUAGCUAACGCAUUAAGUGCUCCGCCUGGGGACUACGGUCGCAAGACUA
rnacentral:rRNA from 1 species